rnacentral:rRNA from 1 species
GAAUAUUAGUCAAUGCUCGAAAGAGUGAACUAGCUAACUGAAAUCAAUUAUAAUAAUUGAUAACAUAAGGGAAAAUAAUGAUAUUACCUUAUUAUUAGUGUCGUCCAAAUCUGGUGCCAGAAGACUCGGUAAGGCCAGAGACACAAACGUUAAUCGUCUUAAUCAGGCGUAAAGGGUUUGUAGGCGGCUUUAAAAUUUAUUUAUAAAAAAAAAUAAGUAAAGAAUAAAAGCUAGAAUCAAAUAGAGGAUAUAUGAAAGAAUGCUUAGAGUAGGUCUGAUAUCCUUAGAUACUAAGUAGAAUAUUAAAGGCGAAAGCUUUUUUCCAUUAAUGAUUGACGCUCAGAAACGAAGGUGAGGAUAGGAAAUAGGAUUAGAUACCCAGAAUACCCCUCUCUGUCAACGAUGAAUGGUAGUUAUUAGUACAAAUUAUUAAUGGCAAUGUUAACACGAUAACCAUUCCGCCUUGUGAGUACAACUGCAAAGUUGAAAACAAAAAAAUUAGUCGGUUUCGGAGCAAACGAAGUGAAGCAUGUUAUUUAAUUC